UAGAGAACACACCAGAAUAAGAUGAUUAUGGGUGGGAAAGCAAAGUGAGUGCAGACUGUGUUGUGUGUUGAUCCUUUUACCAGAACAACUAUGUCUUAUAAUACAGUAUAAUAUAAAGGGAAUAUAGAAACUGUGGAUUGUAGACAGUGGUGGUGGUAAAGAUUAAGAUGGAGGCUUGCAUGGGGCUCUGAGUGACCAGGGUGAGGUGGAGAUGUUAGAACUUGGUUGGAUUAAUAAGAGUCCUAAAGGCAGAAUGACAGAAGAGCACUGAAAUUGAAAGCACACAGAAGGCAGGCAACAAAAUGAAUGAUGUCAACAGUGAGGUUGACAGUGUGGGAAAGAGGAAAUGAUGAUCAGAAUAGACUAGCAGACUAUGCUAACGCCAAGGAAAGGGGGCAGAUGAGUGAUUACAGAUCUUCUUUAUUGAACAUUUCCUAAAGUGUGGCUCUGUGACCUCAGGAAACAUUUUCCUUAUGACUUAAUGGGAUCAUUCACCAGUUGCUGUCAUGGUCUGUAGCUUUUGUGGACUUUAAUUUGAGUUGCUUUUCACUGAUAAUUUUGAGAUUUAGUUUUAGCUUCUAUUUUAGGGCUGAGUUUUACUAGUUUGAGUGAUUGUCCUUGGAUUUAAAAUUCUGUUAUAAUUGUGUUCAUGUUCACUCGUAUUCUUGUAUAUUUCCUUAAUGUUUUGAUGUCAAGACUUUGUUUCUGUGUUAUGUGUUUUCCUGUUUCUUUUUAUUUAUUUAUUAUUUAAUUUGUUCCUUGCCUCUUGGCUUUAGGUUAACUUCCCUCCUCUCGUCUCAAUGGUCUUGAUCGUUUUCAGCUGCAUUUUGUCACCCUCCUGUGUUCCAAACCAAAUUGACCACGGCAGACCCGACGGCAUGAACAUGGUUUGCAUCCUUUAUUUACACACACAAAGCUGCAGCUCUCCCGCUGCCAGCUCAACGUAACAACGACCAACAACCACAAUGCAGGACCCAGUACCAUAUUUAAGUUGGCGGGGCAUGAUUGCAGAUGCCGUGCAGGUGUGUCCACCUUCCCUGCACGGCACCGCAGGCCACGCCCCGCCACACUCAUGUGUACAUAUAAUCCAGUCUUUACCUCAGUCUUUGUCACAGUGUGUGUUUGGUCCUUUGUGUUACUUAUGCUGCAGUUCCUAAGUUUGGACUUUGUUCUCUUUGGGCUUCUACACUCAACCUAAUUAAAGGUUUCCUUAAAUCAGACGGGGCCCUCUUAGGGAGAUUGGGUCUCUCCUACUGUCACUGCAAACUUUCCAUAUCACUACUGCUGUAGUUUAAGAUUGGUCAGCCUUCGGGAAUCCAAAGAAGUUCCCUGCCCUGUCUGCAUCUCUGAAAAUAUCUAUGCAGUUAUCUCCUUUCUAAAUAGAGAGGUCAUGUAUACAGAAGAGUUCAAUCAGGUGCCACACACAGAUCUACAAGUGCAGAUUCAACAGGAAUAACUUAGACCUCCCACGUCUUUCUGGGUCUGAGUCAACCUGUCAUCAUGCAUCUUCCUCACACCCCGCCACCCCCUCUCUCAACUCCUAUUUCACCUUAAUUUGUGUAUUUUUCACUGCGGCCAAAUCUUUUAUUAGAGGCUAUUCUUCUUCUAACCUUAACAUCUAAAACCUACGUGGAGCAGCGUAGCGAGGCCAGCUGGUAAGGCUCAGGCAGGAGUUUUCGACAGAGCGAUGAAGAAGAAGAGGCCGAGGAAUAAACUAGUCCCUCAAGGGAGAUAUAAACAUUUACUUUUCCAUAAGGGGAUGGCCGUAGCGUUGCAAGCAGUCGGAAAAGAGGCACAGAGAAAAAAAAAGGUGAAAGUAAAAGGAAGCAAGAUAGAUAGAAAUGGAAGUGUGUGACUCAUCAGUGUCCCUUAAAGCAGUUUAUUCAAACAACAGCAGCUGACCUGGACACUUCUUUUCUAAAAUCCUUUUAAAAACAAGCAGAGCAGAUCAUGUAAAAGUGACUGUAACCACCAUCAGGAAUUAAACUGCAGUGACCAGAAUGCAUUCUUUGCUUAACGAGAAGUUUUAACAUUUAACCCUGACUUCCCCCCAAAAAAUCUAAGCAGUGUGCUUUGCUGCAUCUGUUACUUUUUUAUUGGGCUAACUUAUAUUUUUUAAAAAUCCACCAAAUGUCACUUUGUAUGGAGCAAAGAGCCACAUAGUCUGCACUCCCAAUGAGCUGUUGGUAACACCACAUUUAAAUGUAUUUAUAGAUCAAUAAUUAGUGGCUGAUUUGCAGGCCAGGCUGUAAUUAUUUGGACUGUUACACUCGUCUCUGUUAUUCAAGCUCCGCACUUCAGCAUUCAAUUUGACAUUUAAAAAAUGGACACUAAUAAAAUUCUAAAUCUUAUCUGCUUACAUGGGCAUUUAGUAUAUGGAAAGGGGAAAACAGCACACAGGCGCUGUCCCACGCCGACGUCCUCCCAUAACCGUGCAAACACAAGGUUGCGACCGACUGGAUGAAUCUUUCUUCAUUUUGGGUUGACAAAAGUAAAUUCAAAACUUUUCUUUGAGUUUCCAGAUGCACCACGUUGCCCCCUGAUGUGCACAAUGUAGCCAAGCCCUCAACUUUAUGUAAAUGAGGAGUGUGCUAUUCGACACCCCCCUCGCUCAAAAUGCAACGCGACACCACAAGAAUGCAUUGCAUGACUGCUCACACAGGCAGUGAAUGCUAAGUGUGGAAAUGAUGGCCCCUGUGGACAUGUACCUUCACAGGAAAGAGCUUGCAUGCAGCUCAGUUAUUGCAAUAACUAUAUAAAAAAGGACAGUAAGUGGUGAUGUCAGGCAAUAAAAGGUGAUGGAUAACAUUCAUUAGAUAAGAAAGAAAUGCCAGUGAACAAACUUCAGAAUGUCCCUCUAUGGUCCUUGGAGAAUGAUCUUGUAAGGAGCUAACAUCAGAGACUAAGGGUUGCAGUAUUUCUGUGUAGAUAGAUUUGGACUGCAUGAAAAGAAAUGUCCUCUGCUUUUUUACCCACAAAGUAAGCUCAUACAUUUGAUUCAUAUUUUACUUGCAAAAACUGAAAAUCUGUGCAGAGGUGGGAAACCAGGCAAGGUUUGAAGUCUUUCAUCAUAACCAU